AUACCUAAUCAAAGCUGUCAGAG
rnacentral:piRNA from 1 species